UCUGGGCCCCAAGCGAGUUACGCGUUCGCAAUUAAAUCCUUGAUGAAUCCACUUUUUCCACGUGAUUUCAAGUUAAGUCAGCUUUAAUGGGCAAAAAGUGCAUUUUUUCCCGCAUCUUUUGCUAUAUAAGACAGCCAGAAGGGCCUCAUUCAUUGUGUGUACUGAAUUAUGAAUUAUCGGGGAAUAUUUCGGUGUUUAUUUUUUGUUUUAAUUGGGGCCGUCCGUGCCAAACCCCAGUACUACUUCGGGGGUCCAUAUGUCGUCCAAUAUGACCCCAACCUGGGGGUCAUCCAACCUGGAUUUUACUACAAUGUUCAACCAAACGUCGGUGCAAACGGUAAACUCACGAAAGAAGCUCUAGGGAUGCCUCCUGUAGGGCCUGAUGGACUGAGACCUCCAAUCAACGAAAAUGGACCGCAACAGAACGUUACGCAGAAACCGACAUACCCCGAUGACCACCUCUACAGCGCCCCCAUCCCUUCGUCUUGUGUGGCCUCCCUUUGUGGGGGUGGAUACGGUUAAUUCUGUUAAAAACUCCUCAAUAAAGAAAAAAUUGAUUGUG